rnacentral:lncRNA from 1 species
AAAGAUUAAUCUGCAAUUAUCAUGAAAAGAACAGAUUAGAACAAAUUCUAUUUACAAUGAUCACUAUAGCUACUAAUGAAUUAAAGACAUAAAAGCACAAACAGUAAAAGCAAAGGUAAAUUUAAACAAAGGAAAAUGAAAAUAUCCUAUACCUAAACUAUGUGCUAUCAUAUAUCAAAAGGUAAAAAGAAAAAUUGGAAAAAAAUCAGAAUAAGAGACAAUCAAAGAACUAAGUACAAUAAACUAAAUUGCAUGAAUCAAAGAAGUAAUCGGCAGGAAUCAAAAUUAAAAGAGCAAGAGACUUAAAAUCGUGCAAGGAAAAUAAAAUAACAUCACCGUAUUGAACAAUUGAAAAACUGAAAUACAAGAAUUCAAAAUCACAAAAGGGAACCUCCCGGCCUGUCACCCACGAGAGAUCCCUCUGCGAAGUCAGCAGCAAAGAACAAUGUAUCUACGUAUCUACCCUCAAUGAAAGCUUAAAGUCUACAUGAAAGCAUGAAAAUGAGUCUAUAGUGGUGUUUGUCACCCACCACCUGUUCAUUCGUUUUUUACAAAACUCCUUUAUAUAGGAAAAAACAAAAACAGAAAAAGAGGAAAAGAGGGGGAAAGGGGAUGAACUAAAAACUGACUCUGAAAGCUUCUCCAACCGUCAACAGUUUUGCAUGUGCUUUCAACCGUGAAUCUGACUGAUCCAGAUUCCCCCACGUGUGUCUGAUUCAGUUAUGCGCUCUUGAGCAAGUGACACGAACCAUAGAGUUCUCAUUUCUUUCUCGCGUUCUUUAGAACCUUAGCUGCUGGGUUUUCAUUUUUCUCUUCCAAACCAGACACGAAUGCAAGCUAUUCCCAGUGUUGCAACUAACAUUUACCAAAACGCAGCGUUCCAAUAAAGCUCUGCCCAUACCCUCUUUUGCGUUUCAAAACGAUGUGUUUCAUUAAACUGACAAUGCCAAAAUGCUAUGUUUCACCUGGUGCCAUAAAGCUUCAGUCCAAUUCAAGCACAUCAGAAUUUCCUUUGCUCUCUGCACAAUUAAUCUUCA